AGGAGUAACGGCAUCACAGUAUUAAGAACGCAGUGAAGCUUGCCCGUGUCACCGGGUUAGGCGCGUAACCGACCACGUGUUUGUUUUGGUACAUGCAAUGCGUGUGCAUGGUCACUUGGGCAAAUCCUUCCUGACUGGCGUCAUUCUGUGUAAAUUACCGGGAUGUCUGGUGUUGCAUUGUUAGAAUCUGGAAGUGUGGAUCCUCACUCCUUGAUCAAGCAGCAGCAGUGGCAGCAGUCAUUGCUGCCCAGAGGAGGAAGCAUCAGGAUGCAUCUAAGAGUGCUCAUUGGCUGCCGGAGGCGAUAUGUCACUGAUUCAACGUAACACACAAGGCAGCCAAUCACAGGAAGGCUUUGUGUUAUCACCAAGAAUGCCAUAAGACAUUGUUUACAAACUGUUAUGUGCCCACAGCCACCAAUCAUAGUAUUCCAGUCAUGGCCAGCAAACCUCCUAAGAAAAUAAGACCUUGGUUCACUGACACCGAGACCUUAGCCUUGGUGGAGGAGGUGUAAAAUCAGGCUGCAGUGAUUCUGGAAAGGCUGGACAAUAGAAUCACCACAGAAAAGAACAAGACUUGGGAGGAGGUGGCUGCACGUGUGAACGCAGUCAGCCGAGUGGGUAGCUCUGAGGAAGUUUAAGGACCUACGGAGCCACGUGAAGAGCAAGGCUGUUGCAGAACAUCAUCAUGCUACAGGCACUAGUGGACUUAGCUCCAUGCAGGUGAAGGACCUCCAGAGGACACCACCUACACUGUUGUCCUACGGAUGCUGUCACUAACAGCAUUUGCAGAACUGCCAGUCCCUGACAGGGAGGGAGACACAUUAUGAGAGUCUGGCCCUCUGUGAGGACCAUAGCCAUCCACCCACCAGCAGUGGUGUUACAGUCAUCCAGCCCUCAUCUGCUGGUGUUGCUGGGGCCUCUGGAUUCAUUGGUGCUGUGGGUGCAUUAUGUGAAGUUUUAGCAGUGGGCAUUAGUUUCUGAACUCAUGCAUCUUACAGAUGACAUCACCCAUUGGUGAAUAACUGUUGCCACUCAUUCAUGUUAACAUGUAUUCAGUUUUGUUCUCCUGUACAUACCUAUGAACAUUGUAUGUACAUUUAGCAUAUGAGCCAUACUUUUCAAUGGUUUGUAUUACAGUUGAUUAAUAUGAUAAUUAAAUGCCUUAUUUGUGCAGUACAUUAUUA